CUUAGUUUCAGUAUAUUUGCAAAGAUCGAUGUCCUUGGUUGGCUAUAUAUAUGUUAUCGUUAUCAUCGGAGAAAAGUAAUGUCAUGGAAAGUUUGUAUGCGAUAUUUUUAUGUCUGGUAUUAUAUAUCACUUUCUUAAACAAUAUGUGAGGGGAACUUUGGAAAUUUGGCCUUCUGGCAAGACGAUACCGAAACUAUAUGGAAGACAGGAAAAGUUUAUUUGAAAGUACUAGAAUAUAUUUCUACUAGAAUAGUUUAUCGGACGGAAUGGUCGAUCUGAACGCUACGUGGUUUAUGACCGACAUCUUGUCUUAGUCUUGUCAAAAGAUUUGGCUGUCUGAGGAGCGCAUGUUCCACGGAUGCAGAGUUUUACACGGUUGGAGAUGCUUAAAGAUAUUUUUGUAUCUGGAAGUGUAACAUAAAGAUACGUUUUGAUCGUAGAUCCAGUAUAAGUUGUCGGCGAGCAUAGAUGUGGUGGUGCAACACAGGGGAAAUGGAUUGUGACGAAUAACAAGAAGCAGCAGCAGCAGCAGGAGGAGGCUGAAAUAAAGAAGGACAGGAAGAAGAAGAAGCGCGCGAAUGUUUCAAAUAUGUAAAAAACAUUAUUGUAGGUUAGAUGCGAGAAAAUCUGAAACAAGUAAGAAAGGAAUGAAAAGAGAGAAGUAAUUGAGCUUUAUUUGCGAAGUGGAAAUAGAAUAGAUAAUAGGUAAUAUGCAAGGCAAUAUAAUUUUGUGAAUGGUAGAAGAACGGAUUUGUUUGGUUUCUAGAAGACUAAAGAAUAGGUAAAGAUGCAUUUAGGAGAUAUAUGUGUGCGCGUUGUUUAUUUGACCAUUAACCAUAAACUGCGAAAUUAGGGUUAAAAAAUAUAGGAUGACAGAUAGAAUAGUUUUGAAAGGUUAAGAAUAUGGUUGCGUUAAGAAAGGUGUAAUUGUGAAAUGUACAAUGGAAUCGAGCAAUGGGAUGGAACACCAUUACAAAAGGUAGUAAUUAUAAUCUGGAAAUAUAUUAGUAAGGAAGCACACGAUUGGAAUCUUGUAAUUAUACGGAUACUAUAUGGAAAGUGAUUAACGUUAAAUGAAUUCCACUUAAUGGAAUGAAAUGUAUUAGUAAUAAUAUAGAAUGGUAUUAUUAAAGCUAGUAAUUAUAUAGAAUUAUAGGAAAUAUGGAGGUAAUUAGGGCGGAUUGUUUGUAAGGGUGGAUGAGAAUUAUGGCGCAUUACGGACACAGACAGGAAACAGAAAUUGUAUCUGUUAAAAGAAGGUCGAGCAGGAGGGAAUAGAGAGAAAGGAAAUUAUUGAAAGGCUUAAUGUUAUUUGAGAAAGGAAAAAGUCAAGGCUAAAGAAGAAACAAAU